ACAGUUGGUCGGCCUGUCGCUUGCGCCUUGUGCGUAUGAGGAAAGUCCGGGCAACACAGAGCAUUCCACUUCUUAAUAGGAAGCCGUCCGCGAGGGCAGAGUAACGUAGAAGAAAACAACCGCCUGCCUACCAGCAGGUAAGGGUGAGAAGGUGGGGUAAGAGCCCACCAGCGUAGUGGUGACACUGCGGCUGUGCGUCUUGGAAGUUGUAAGGUCAUGUAAACUGGCGCUAUAAGGGCUGCUCGUCCGAUGCUAGAGGGUAGACCGCUAAAGCCACGAUGGUGACAUCUGGCUCAGAUAAAUGGCAGACACCCCUUAGCUCUCUUCUAUCAUUUAAGGGGAACAGAACCCGGCUUAUAGACCGACUGUCGUU
rnacentral:RNase_P_RNA from 1 species